CUGAGUUGUACUAAUUCACACACACACACACACACACACACACACACACACACACACACACACACACACACACAAUACAAAGGUCAGAAACAAGUAAAAUAUUUAACUGAAACUAAUUGAAAAUAUUUUUAAUACAAUAAAAUCUACAAGGAAUCAGCAGUUCAGAGAAAAAAUGAUGGAAAUGAGAGACUGUGUGUGUGUGUGUGUGUCUGUGUGUGUGUCUGUCUGUGUGUGUAUAUGUGUGUGUGUGUGUGUGUCUGUGUGUGUGUGUCUGUGUGUGUGUGUGUGUGUGUGUGUGUGUGUGUGUGUGUGUGUGUGUGUGUGUGUGUGGACAGAGAGAGAGCGAGAGAGAGAGAGAAAUAGAAAGCCAUGAACGACGUAUCAAAUGCGAUGGAAUGGUAUAACAAUAGUGGUGUGUGUGUGUGUGUGUGUGUGUGUGUGAGUUCAGAAAGUCAAUCAGAGUAAUGUAUGUGUAACAUUAUAGAUUUUAAUAUAUAUUUUAUAUUAUUCAUUCUGAUUUUACACACAUAUUGAAAAAGUUUGUUAUUGUAUUUGUGAUAACGUAUAGAAUUGUGACAAAUAUUUUAUUUUAAAUAUAAUUUAUAAUAAUAUUGAUGCUGAAUAGUACCAAAAAUAUAAAUCAUAUUAUAAUAGAGUGUAUAUAAAUAUACAAUAUUAUACAUU
ensembl:lncRNA